rnacentral:rRNA from 1 species
UACGUAGGGACCGAGCGUUGUCCGGAUUCAUUGGGCGUAAAGAGCUCGUAGGCGGCCACUCAAGUCGAAUGUGAAAUCUCGAGGCUCAACCUCGAGCCUGCAUUCGAUACUGGGCGGCUAGAGUCUGGUAGGGGGAUCUGGAAUUCCUGGUGUAGCGGUGGAAUGCGCAGAUAUCAGGAGGAACACCGGUGGCGAAGGCGGGAUCCUGGGCCAGUACUGACGCUGAGGAGCGAAAGCGUGGGGAGCAAACAGG